UUUGCCGCAUAUGUAAAUAAUGUGGUUCACAAUUUCCCUGCUGCAGCUGGGUUCAGCUAGUUGAUGCUGUCCUUCUGCUUGUCAGGACAGUGGCCUGACAAACAACAACAAGGACAAACAACAUCGGGAUAGACAAUAGGGACAGAUGAAGUGCAUGACAUAUAGCUGGACAUGCAGGCGUUAUCCAUAGGUUUGUGCCCAGUGCGCCUGGCCAGUAAGCACACAGAGUCAGAAUCCACGUGAAGGUCUUUUCAUUAAGUAAUUAAUUAUAUAAUUCUGCAGAAUCAGGUGCUUGGCGAUUUUUUCAAAGCAAGCACCCCUCUGACUUGAAGCACCGCUAUUUAUACACACAUAAUCACACUCAUUAACAUGUGAAACUCUCUCUCUGGAUACUUCUGAGCACCGAGAAGAGAACAGGAAAACCAGGACAGAUGUGUGUGGCGUUUGCACAUGCAGCUUCCCAUCCUCCAGCAGCUUCCCAUCCUCCAGCCAUUUCAAGCUCAGGUAUUUCCUGACCUUGUUUUUAGCAGCUCUAUCGGACUUCAUCCCGCACAAGCUUCCUGCUGCUCUCAGGCAGGAUGUGGGAGGGUGCACAUGUUGUUUUCUGAGCAUCAGCAGCAGGGCUGGCCAAGGCGAGGGACUUUGGCCAUGGAUUCCUGGCAAGUCUCUAGGGCUAGAUGCUUCCAGAACCAGGGCUGUGGAUGGAGCGGGAGAUUCGCAGCCCUCUGCUCAGAACCACCCACAAUUCCCUUUCCCAGGAGCUGCCCUUUAUCAGCCCUGAGAAGCCUUGCAGACACUGGGGAGGAGCUAUGCUCUCUGCUCCCAUAGGAGGAGGUGGCCCUGCCCAUCCUCUUGUUUCACUUUUACCUUAGUGCAGAGCCUCCGCUGCUCCACAGCCCUGCAGCUCUCCUGCAGCAUCAUCAUAGGGAAGAUGGCAGCCCAGAAGAAGGCCCGUGAUAACUGUCCUAAUUUGCAGACCGACCUGGAAAACCUGAUGGGAAACGUAGAAGUCUGCCGCAGUGUGGGCUUGGAGAUCAUCAAUAACACCAAAAGGUGACGCUGGAGGACUUCAGGAGUUACUGCUUCAGUGGCAAGAUCCAGACCGUUCUCCCCUUCGAUAUCGGUCCACACUCCGUAGGAAGAUGCAUUUUUGCAAAGACUCCAUACAGCCUGCGUGGGAGUGUGGGUGUCCUGGUCUGCAAGGCCAGCUCUUUCUCACUGGCCAUCAUGUUCUCCAACCCCUUCGACUACAUCCUUUACAACAUCGAGUUUGCUCUGGAGCUCUUCAAAUCAGAGAACCACAUGGGAAACCUCAAUGCAGUCUUCUCCCGUAUGAUGCAAAGCAAGCCUUACAGCAGCUCCACACUCUUCCAGCGAGCCAAGCUACAGUCCGAGCAUGAAACCCUGGAGGUCUCCUUGGGGAAUAUUCGUGUCAGAGCCAAGAUGUCCAACAGUGCGAAAGCGAUCCUGAAAGUCCAGGUAGACGAUAUAGAUCCCCCACCCUAUUCCAAAGGCAUGUGAGUGAAGACACCUUUGCUGUCAAAAGCCUCCCACGCGAGAUUUUCAUCAGGGAUGGAGGUAGAGAUUUCACUGUGCUGCCUCUUUGGUGGUCACAGAUGGUGUCUGAUGAUAAAUCUGGUGGGAGAUAGCACCACCAGCAGCCUGGUCCCUCCUAACUGGCCUACAGCUUCGGUGACUUUGCCAAUAAGCUAACAGCGGCUUGUGAAGUACUAACUCACGCUUAUGGGUGAUAACUAAUAAACAAUGCUCUUACCCUUG